UCGGGAAUUUUGCGCAAUGGGGGAAACCCUGACGCAGCAAUACCGCGUGUGGGAUGAAGGCCUUCGGGUCGUAAACCACUUUUUUCGGGGACGAUAAUGACGGUACCCGAAGAAUAAGCCACGGCUAACUACGUGCCAGCAGCCGCGGUAAUACGUAGGUGGCAAGCGUUGUCCGGAUUUACUGGGCGUAAAGCGCGCGCAGGCGGUGAAUGAAGUCGAAAGUGAAAGCCCCGGGCUCAACUCGGGAACUGCUUUCGAAACCAGUUCACUUGAAGGCGGAAGAGGGAAGUGGAAUUCCGAGUGUAGUGGUGGAAUGCGUAGAUAUUCGGAAGAACACCAGAGGCGAAGGCGACUUCCUGGUCCGAUCUUGACGCUGAGGCGCGAAAGCUAGGGGAGCAAACGGG
rnacentral:rRNA from 1 species